UGUAAGUUGUUUUCGAUGAUAGGACAUCCGAUUCGACGAUCGACUCCGUUAGAUAUAAUCCACCUUAUUGGAACUAUUUACAAACCAAAUUUUAUAAUUUUUUGACAUUAUUUACUGAGCGAUCAAAUGACUAUUUUAAUGGCCGAUGCGGCACGUUUUUAUGUUCAACGGUGUAGAAGUAUCCAAAUUACAUGAAAUUUUAAUAAAAAAUUCUACUUAACGUCAAUAGUAAGAUCAAUACUUCCGAUUUGAAAUUUGAGUACUUUAUCAUUAUUUUUUAUGAGAUUUUUAUUUUCAGCCAUUCAUUUUGAGGCUACUCGUUCACUAGGCAAACAAAGUGAAAAAAUUAUGAAAUUUAGUUUUUAAAUAGUUCAAAUAGCGUAGAUCAUAUCUAACGGAACCGAUCACCGAAUCGAACGUCCCAUCAUCGAAAACAAUUACAAGUACGGGAGCCCCCGUACUUUCGAAAGCAUAGGAGCCUAGCGCUCUCUCUCUCUCUCUCUCUCUCUAUA
rnacentral:lncRNA from 1 species